AAGAUGUCGUUCCCAAAGUAUAAGCCGUCGAGCCUGCGCACUCUGCCUGAGACCCUCGACCCAGCCGAAUACAACAUAUCUCCGGAAACCCGGCGGGCGCAAGCCGAGCGGUUGGCCAUAAGAGCCCAGCUGAAACGAGAGUACCUGCUUCAGUACAACGAUCCCAACCGCCGAGGGCUCAUCGUGAGUGUGGGGCCUCCCAGGCGGGAAUAGGGCCCGAGUCCUGGGAGAGACCGAGAGAGACCACGCAAAGGGAAAAUCCUGCCUUGCUUCGUUGGGCCUAUGCAAGAACAAUAAAUGUCUAUCCUAAUUUCAGACCCACUCCUAAAAACUCACUCAUGGGAGCUCUGUGUGGAUUUGGGCCCCUCAUCUUCAUUUAUUAUAUUAUCAAAACUGAGAGGGAUAGGAAAGAAAAACUUAUCCAGGAAGGAAAAUUGGAUCGAACAUUUCACCUCUCAUAUUAAGUCUGGCAAUGAUGACUAUAUGUAUUCCUGCCUAAAUAAAUCAUCUAUUAAUCA
rnacentral:lncRNA from 1 species